AAUAAUUAACGUUUGAAGUAGUAUCAGAGAGAUGGAAAAAAGCAAGUUCUGAUAGUGGGAGGAACUGGGUAUCUGGGAAAGAGAUUGGUGAAGGCAAGCCUGGCUCAAGGUCACCCCACAUAUGUUCUCCAAAGGUUGGAUGAUGCGGUUCACAUUGAAAAAAUCGAACUCCUUCUGUCAUUCAAGGAGCAAGGAGCCCAUCUGGUGUCUGGUUCCUUCGACGACCACCAGAGCCUUGUGGAUGCUGUCAAGCUGGUAGAUGUUGUUAUCUCUGCUAUCUCAGGCGUCCACCUCCGCAGCCACCAUAUUCUUAUUCAACUCAAGCUCGUGGAUGCCAUCAAAGAGGCUGGAAACAUUAAGCAAUUUACGUAGAUGAAGAUGAUAUAGCCAUGUACACUAUCAAAACCAUAGAUGAUCCACGAACACUGAAUAAAACACUCUACCUUAGGCCACCCCAGAACAUCCUUUCUCAAAGAGAAGUUGUGGAGAUCUGGGAGAAACUCAUCGGAAAACAGCUCCAAAAGUCUUCAAUCUUCAAGGAGGAAUUCUUAACUAACAUGAAGACCCAAAAUUAUGCAGUGCUGGUGGGAUCAACACAUUGCUAUCAUGUUUUCUAUGAUGGAUGUCAUGCAAACUUUGAGAUAGGAGAUGGAGCAGAGGAAGCUUCUCAGCUUUACCCUGAAAUCAAGUAUACUACAGUCCAUGAACACAUGAAAGAUCCCAACCAUGCAUUGAGUUAAUGCUUCUUCGAUAUUUCUCUGUUUUGGCAAAAGGAUUUUCAAUAUUUAAUGUAAGGCUGUGUUCUAUUUGUAUUUAAAUCUUCAACCUUUUCUUUCCGUUGAGUUGUUGGUUACCAAAAUAAAAGUUUCAGAAAUGCAUACAGAUUUAUGUUGUGUCAAUGGUUUCAAAAUAUCUCAUAUUUCUCAACUUCUUGUAUCCAUACCUUGAACCAUGAGCAGUAUUGCUCCAUCAGGUAUCUUUAUUCCCCACUUCCUGUAUU